CAACAAGGUAUUUGGAAAGAAGCCACAUCUAUUUCGUCUUGAAGCAAAAUUGGGUCUCGCUGCUUGAAAGUUUAAGAAGGUGGAGUGUAAAUUUUAAAAUUCAGACUCAAAAUAUGACUAUUGAUACAUCGUCUCAAUUUAGAUGACACUAAAAUUCAAAGCGUCUCAGUUGGCUUCCUACUUGCUACGCUCAUUGAUUUAUCAUGUGAACUCUUGACUAUUGAUUUUCUCCAGUAAACUUCAAUUGCGAUUGAAAGUUCUCCAAAUGAACAUAAAAAUUUUGGAGCUCAAGGGGAAAACCAUGAGAGGGCUGCAAUGAAGCUAGCUCCUUGAUAGU